UGGCGCACGGGUGCGUAACACGUGGGAAUCUGCCCUUAGGUACGGAAUAACAGUUAGAAAUGACUGCUAAUACCGUAUGAUGCCGCAAGGCCAAAGAUUUAUCGCCUAGGGAUGAGCCCGCGUCGGAUUAGCUAGUUGGUGGGGUAAAGGCCUACCAAGGCGACGAUCCGUAGCUGGUCUGAGAGGAUGAUCAGCCACACUGGGACUGAGACACGGCCCAGACUCCUACGGGAGGCAGCAGUGGGGAAUAUUGGACAAUGGGCGAAAGCCUGAUCCAGCAAUGCCGCGUGAGUGAAGAAGGCCUUAGGGUUGUAAAGCUCUUUUACCCGGGAUGAUAAUGACAGUACCGGGAGAAUAAGCCCCGGCUAACUCCGUGCCAGCAGCCGCGGUAAUACGGAGGGGGCUAGCGUUGUUCGGAAUUACUGGGCGUAAAGCGUACGUAGGCGGCUUUGUAAGUUAGAGGUGAAAGCCCAGGGCUCAACCCUGGAACUGCCUUUAAGAC
rnacentral:rRNA from 1 species